rnacentral:misc_RNA from 1 species
CAGCACAGCGCCGAAGACAUUCAAACGUGUGGUUCACCGGCGAUUCUUGGGUUUGUUCUCGUUUACCCGCCGGCGUUGCUUGGGUUCGUUCUCUACUUAUCUUAGAAACACAAAUAUGCAUUCCCUUCGACGCUUAGCAGUUAUUACCAUAAAAAGAGCAACACCUAUCUAUGGACUCAUCUCCACGAUCCCAAAAACGCAUUUUGAUUCAACUGCCCUUUGCAAUUCCCUAUCCACCAAGUCCAACAAAAAUGACAACGAUGAAUGGAACGAUGCUUGGGAAACUGCCUGGCUGCCAGAGGACAUCACAGCCAAAAACAGAGCUCCGUGGGAGACGGACGUGAAUUUCCCAUCCAAAGACUCAGCGGUGGUGCUGUCACCAGAGGCAGAUGCAGAGACCAAGGCAUUUGUGGAGGAAAUGAAUGAAAACUGGAACGAAAGGCGUAAAGUGACCAAGACUCAUCAACAACAGCAGCGAGAUAAGGAAGGGAAGACGGGUCCUGGGGAUGGGACUUCACUUUAUAGUUUGGAGAAUAUGAAGAAGGAUUACAGGUUGAAGAAGCAGAGAAUCCAUGCUGGGUUAUGGAUGAAAGAGAUUGAGAAGCAACAGGAGGCUAAAUUGGGGGAUUCAGGUCUAGCUUCAGCAGAUGAUAUUGACCGAUUGCUUGAUAGCUGCUCUGAGAUUUUUGAUACUGCCAACAAUGACUUGGACAACUCAAGAGCCCCAAAGUCUUCAGAGUUUAAAAGCAAGCCGGAUGGUUGGGAAACAACAUCUAAGGUGCAAGAUGGGAAUAUAUGGGAGAUGUCACAAAGGGAAGAAGAUAUUCUCCUCCAAGAAUUUGAUCGUCGAAUUGCAUACAGCAAAUUCCAGAUAGCUAGUUUUAUCAAGACUCACAUAUUUAGCCGGAGAAGACCGAUUGAUGGGUGGAAAUAUAUGAUAGAGGAGCUGGGACCAAAUGCCAAGAAAGGGAAAGGUAGUGUCUCAAGGAUACCAAGUCUUUCUGACUCAUCAACUCAACCAUUUAAGGAGGAGAGGACAACAGUUGGCAACAAUUUCAUGCCCUUGAAGGGGAAAUAGUUGCAGGUUUCAAUUUUGCAAUUUUGUCAC